rnacentral:lncRNA from 1 species
CAAGAUUGCCAUUUUCAAACACCCUUUUAGGCCCUUAUUUUGCUAUAUACAAUGUGAGAACUUGAAGUAAACACACAAAAAAAAAAAUCGAAUCUUGUAAGUUAAUUUCGCUUCUUCAUUAACUUUUCAUGUCCAACAUUGCCAUAUUCAAACACCCUUUUGGCCUUUCUCUUUGUUUAUGAUAGAGAUUUUGCUACAUGCAAAUUUGAGUACUUGAACUAAACACAAAAAAAGAUUAAAACUUGCAAAGCCAAAUUUACCUUUUCAUGUCCAAGAUUGUCAAUUUUCAAACACCCUUUUGGCCUUUUUUUCUUUGUUCUUGAUACAUAUUGCUAUAUAUGCAAAUGUACAACUUGAGCUAAAACACAAAAAAGGUCAAAUCUUGGUUUCUUCAUUCCCUUUUCAUGUCCAACAUUGCCAUUCUUAAACAUCCUUUUGCCCUUUCUCUUUCUUGAUAGAUUUUGUUUGUACCUUGUAUUUGCUGCACUUGAGUCGAUGGUCUUUUGAAAACAACCUUUCUACCUCCCUGCAGUAGUAGAAGUAAAGUUUGGUUACACUUUAUCCUCACCAGACCUCACUUGUGGGAUUUCACUGGGUAUGGUGUUGUUGACAACUUGAACUAUAACACAAAAAGAUCAAAUCUUGGAAGUUGAUUUUGGCUAUAGGGAUUAACUUGGCUCAUUCGGAAACAGUCUCUCUACCUCCGUACAGUAGUAGUAAAGUUUGGUCUCACUUUACCUUUCCCAGACCUCACUUGUGGGGUUUCACUCGAUAUGGUGUUGUUGACAGCUUGAACUACAACACAAAAAGAUCAAAUCUUGAAGGAAUUUUCUUGAAUUUAUGAUCAUGGGUGGAUUUGUAAGAAGCUUUUUAUGGCUAAACAAUUAUAGCAAGAAGCAAUGCAAGUGUUUAUUUGGAAGAAUGAGAACAGCAAUGAAGAAACUAGCAAUUGGUGAGAACAAAAGACAAGUUAAAUUCCAAUAUGAUCCUUCAAGUUAUGCUCUCAACUUUGAUGAUGGAAGUUUUGGUUUGGGAGAUAGAGAAAGGGUAUUUAGGACAUUUCACCAACAAACUUCUAAAGUUCAAAGUUGUUGUAAAACUAGUACUACUACUACUACAUUGGUUUAUGUACUAUGGGUGGAGACUUAGAAAUUCUUGCCAUUUCAUAUGGUCACUUUUGUUUCACUUGUUACCUCAUUUCAUUUGAAUAGUUUGAGUUUUUGGUAAGAUACAUUAAUGUAAUCAUUCCUUUUUUAUUUUCUUAUGAUGAUGGUGCCGAGCCAGUUUGUGCAUGCCUCAACUAUUCUGCCAAGUGUAGUCACAUGUAUGAAGGCAAGGAGUUCAUCUGAAUCUCUUUCAUCGAAAAAUCAUACCUAGUAAAUAGUACAUGAUUUUUUAAAGAAACUAUAUACUAACUAUUAAAUCUCCUUGAUGUAAGAAGAGAUUCAAGGUAUUAUUUUAGUGGAGAGGGGGGAGGGGGGGUAGAUUUUUGUUUUCUGUCAUAGGCAGUUAAGUAGGUACUUAAAGCACAUCCUACAUGUCAAAUCGUAUGAUAUUUGCCAUGUAGAACACGUGGAUCUACUUGUUCAACUGUAUGAUAGUUCUAAGUGUCUACUUGUGCACAACCACAAUUGAAGAACAUAGAUGUCAUUUGAGGCCAAGUCAAAAUGCACGUUUAUGUAUCAUAAACUAUGAAAAACACAAACCAAUUUUAUGAAACCUCCAUACGAUACGAAAGUACAAACCUCAAUGUACAUCGAUCGAUAAUCAAACACUCAUUCUAAGAAACCAUAAUUUGAUAAAAAUUUAUAUCCUAGUAACAAGCAGGCUAUAGUUCUUGAAAGAUUCAAGCAGUUUUCAGUGAAAGCACCAUACAGCCAAAUUGUAAACAAUGCAUUAUGGAACAUAUGAUCAUCCUUUAAACAGCAGGAUCUUCCAGCGUAGCAGUCGAUAAAUCAUUUAUGCGCGGAUAAACAGCUUUCUCACCGAGCUGAUUUUGUGCCCAUAAUAACAUCUUCAAAAGGCUUGG